CAGGCCCGUCCCUUUCUGUGGACCCUAUUCCACACAAAAACCAUACAGAUAAUAGACAAACUGACCAAUCAGCCAAACGGCUCCCUAUCUCUCCACACGGUGCCGUGUGGGUAGAACUACCAGCUACCCUUCCUGACCCACCUUCACUCCAGCUUCCUCCACUGCUCCCACGGUUUGGGUCUCCUGAUCUUGCGGUUAUUUGCUUGGAGUCAUUUCCCACCCUUUGGCCUGAUGCUUCUGGCUGAGACAUUUUCCUCUCUUCUUGGCCAUAAUUUGGGCUCUCCCCUGAGCCACAGUCCUGCUAUUGCACUGGGUAAGCAGCUCAUCUCAUGUAGCCUGACCCUCAGGACCUUGCAUCUCCGGGGUGGAGCCCAGAGGAGGUGAGACAUGAGGACUCCAGAGGGCAGCUGCUGGAAGCCCCUAUCAACAGAUGUCCCAUUAUCAAAGCAUCUGUGAAGAGCUCCCAAGGCAAGACCCCAGAGAGGACAAGCAGCUGCUGAAAGCUGUAUGCUGGUGGGAACCCGAUGAUGGAACUCAAGUACAAAGAGAGUGCUUGCCCAGCUACUUGAGUGGGAGAACCAGACCAGAGAGAACUCAGGGUUUCUGACUCCAGAGGAAGGAAUCUGAAAACGAUAGGCUCAUCACGUUCCGGGCACAAGGGCCCUAUAAUGGAAAUAAUAUAGCUUCAGGAAUGCUGAGGAGUUCUUGCCUUUUUGUAACUGGGUCAGUGCAUGUGCACAGAGGCCACCGGGUCAAAUUUUAGUGCUUGAGCGACUCUCCUGCCUCAAUGGGAGUCACACACCACUGGGCACACACUGGGUCACUGUGCGUUCUACCGGAGGAGGAUGGUGAGUCACCAUUUUAUACUCAGCUCUGCAACGGCAUGGAAAAGUUACCGCCCCACUGGCCCAUCUCAGGGAAACCUGUAAGCUCCCUGCCUCCAACUCCUCAGAGGUCAUUUCUGAGAAAGUUUGUCUUCAACUGUUUCUUGACAUGACUGGCAGCAGAAGAAAUAGCUGGAGAGGAUUUCACUUCACCCUGAGGAACUGCCCAGCAAUCUUGAGAGGAUGUAAAACCAGCUGUAGAAACUUAACUCUGUUCUUUCAUUCCUAGCAUGAGGAGAGACUGAAGUAGAAACUGUUACUGAGGGGCCGCAAGUGUCACUAAGAAUCAUUUAAAGGAAUAAAGAGGAAAACCCUUUGGUGUGUGGGGUCACUUGAGCAAGGCUACGACAGGUGUGGGCAAGCUGUCCAUUGCAAGAUCCAGAGGCUACCACUGACACGAGCCACAGUGUGAACUGUACCUUCGGAAUCACGCAAAAUGGUGAUCCUACCUUUGUUUCUCAAAUCAUGGGACAAUACAGUGAUAUUUUUCAUCUUUAAAUAAAUCCCAAAAGCCUAAGUUGGAGCACAGAGGCUAAUGCUCUGAGCGCUACAGAGAAAGCAGUAUCAGCCAAGUAGUGGUUAGAAACACCUUAUACACAGAGUGGCAUGGUGUAAACCCCCAACUUGGUCCCCUGCCCCAGUCAUGUUAAUUAACUUUUCUAUCCCUCAGGCUUUUCAGUUGUAAAAUGGGUGUAAUCAGGGUGGCUGGGAGAAUUAUAUUAGAUAUUGCAGGUAAAAUACUUACAACAGUGCUCAACACACAGUCAAGGACUCAAUAAAUGUUAACCUUUACCAUUAAAGAAGAUGGUGUCUCCCUUUUGUUCCACUAUUAGGAUUCUGGAAUGAAUAAAAAUGAUCACUGCUGUAUUAUUAUGAUUCUCAUGUUUCAAGUGUGUUUAUGGCUCCAGAGGAAAUACUGUCUGUGUCUUUUAAGGAUAAAAACUAGGAACAGCUUAAAAGGACACUUUUGGAGAAAAUGCAAAAUAGCAUUUUGUGAUUGUCAUUAAGAAUGUUAAGAAGCUGGGACGCCUGGGUGGCUUAGUCACUGGGUGUCUGCCUUCGACUCAGGUCAUGAUCCCAGGGUCCUGGGAUUGAGCCCCGCGUCGGGCUCCCUGCUCAGCGGGAAGCCUGCUUCUCC